CCUACGGGGGGCAGCAGUGGGGAAUAUUGGACAAUGGGGGGAACCCUGAUCUAGCCAUGCCGCGUGUGUGAAGAAGGCCCUCGGGUUGUAAAGCACUUUCAGUGAGGAAGAACGCCUGGUGGUUAAUACCCAUCAGGAAAGACAUCACUCACAGAAGAAGCACCGGCUAACUCCGUGCCAGCAGCCGCGGUAAUACGGAGGGUGCGAGCGUUAAUCGGAAUUACUGGGCGUAAAGCGCGCGUAGGUGGCUUGAUAAGCCGGUUGUGAAAGCCCCGGGCUCAACCUGGGAACGGCAUCCGGAACUGUCAAGCUAGAGUGCAGGAGAGGAAGGUAGAAUUCCCGGUGUAGCGGUGAAAUGCGUAGAGAUCGGGAGGAAUACCAGUGGCGAAGGCGGCCUUCUGGACUGACACUGACACUGAGGUGCGAAAGCGUGGGUAGCAAACAGGAUUAGAUACCCGAGUAGUC
rnacentral:rRNA from 1 species